AUGGUGGCAUGCACCUUCAUCGCCUGCCUGCUCAGGUACGGCACGCCGUUCGCGUCGUGGUUCCGGAACACGCGCACCGGCACGCCGUCCACAGAGAAGCUGGAAAACAGAGCAUCAAAGAAACAAAAAACUGUUAGACAGAUGCAGGAGAUCCGAUGCAUUAAUUCGAUCAGUGCAGCGAUGAGAUGCCUGGAUGCAUGGAUGGGCCAACUGGCUUGGGGUAUUGAAUUUGCCGAGAUUUUGAUUCAGAUGCUGGGUAAAAAAAAUCUGGUUUGGCAGAAUCUAGCAUUUGACUCCGCGCACUAG
rnacentral:rRNA from 1 species